GGAAAGGUGGCCGAGUUGGUUGAAGGCGCACGACUGGAACUCGUGUAAACGGUUAAACGUUUCGAGGGUUCGAAUCCCUCUCUUUCCGCCA
rnacentral:tRNA from 1 species